CAAAGUGUAGCUUAAUAUAAAGCAUCUGGCCUACACCCAGAAGAAUCUGUAAUCAUAGACACUUUGA
rnacentral:tRNA from 1 species